GCCUGGUGCCUGGUGCCCCCUCCCUCACAGGGGAAGACACUUGCUGCCAUGUCUGAUGUAAAGUUACUGUAGUGCUCAGGGGUCAGUUCACAUCACAGUGUUGCUAUUCUGACAUAUUCUCUUACAAUAAUUUUUCUCUUUCUCCCAUUAAGAAUCCUAUGACAUAUUUUGCCUUUUCCCUCUGUCGGCAGGAUCAGAAUCCAUGUUUCCAUUUCUGUGUGAAGCUUCCCCCAUUCAUUUCUUCAUUCUCUUUCUCCCCUCCCACCUUUCUUGCAUACACAUGUGCAAGUGUGCACACUCAUGUAGUAAAUAAUGUAUUUGGUUAGAAACAGUGAGAUUCAAAUAAAUUAUGUCUGACUUAUAUACCUACUAUGUACCUUGGGUUGGCAGCAAUGGCUAACACAACCUCACAAGUAUCCCCAUCGUCCCAUGAGAGGAAAGCCUCAGUGAGUGAGCUUGUCCUACAGACUGGCUUCUGCCCACCUGAUCUCCCUAAGCUUCAUUUUUACAGCUCCUCCCAGAUCCUCUCACUGUCCCACUGGAAAAGCUCCACUUCAAAGAUGUUUGUCAGUGACAGAAAAUGGCGGUCCCUAUCAUCUCAGCUACAGAAAUACCCUUUGGGGCAAAGUAGAGGCUGGUAAAAACUUAAAAGGAAGUAUCUGGGGGAUAAAACUCAUUUUCCAUAAAUGACUUUGAAAAGCUC